UGUGUCUCCACGGGUGUCUUGACGCCAAUGUCUCAGAGGAGUCAAAGGAAGCUAUGGACGGCACAAGCUCAGCUUUUCUCCGGUUACCCUGGGACAUUACCCAGAGGACCACUUCACUGAAGAGAAACCGCGCCAGCUGCAAAGGGAGUUUAAAGCAGAGCUGGAGGUGCUGACUCCAAACUUCAAGAUGAGGAACAUGGAUAUGAAAAUCCCUUACACUUACCUGAUACCAGACACUGUGGAGAACAGCAUCACCAUCUAAAACCAUUCCAAUGUUGUAGACCAGGUUACAUGGUAUAUAUUCAAAAAACAACAAAAUGGUCUUUUUCUGUUUUUAGCUUAUAUUAUGCAAUAAUCUUUGCCUUUUCUAUGACCGCAAUGCUCAAAACAGGUUCUGCAGCAGAGCCUCCAAAUUGAAGAAAGAAAAGAUACGAGUCAAAUGAAAAAGUACUUACCCUUUAAGGCAAGGGUGUGUUAACUAUGGUCCGUGGGCCACAUAUUGCCGUUGGUCAUUUUAAUCCGGCCCGCCAAAUAUUUAAUCAGAAAUGACCAAAGAUCUGUUUUGAGAUGUGCCACAACAAAACUGAUACUAGACUUUGAGGUAAUAACACAAACACCUCUCCCACUAAAAUUAAAAUAAAAGUGUUGAGCCUUUAAUACCAUAUGUUUCUUUGAUGAAAUGAUAUUGUUAAAACUAGAUGUAAUAUGACCCCAAAGGGAAUAAGCGGUAGAAAAUGUAUGGAUGGACAGAUGUAAUAUGAUUAAAAUAGCCCAUAUUUGAGAAGCCUACUCUUAGUUUCAAAGCAUCACGUGCUCGCCCGCCUUGUUUGUCAAAUUUCACAAGCCAAUGUGGCCCCUGAGCCAAAAAGUUUGCCCACCCCUGCUUUAAAAGUGUGUGCUGAAAUAUACUGUCACCUGCUGGCGUGUAAUAUGUAUUGCUUGAGCUAACUAAAGUGUCAUUUUGUUUGGGGAAAAUUACUUUUUGUAUGCAUAUUGCACUGAGAAGCCACAUGAGUUCUAAUGUCACAAUAAACUCCAGGUCCUCUUCAAUGGUUAUAUUCACAUUAUUUUCCUCUCUAUCAUUAGUAUGUAUUAGUAUUAGUAACUUAGAGAUUUAUUUACAAAAAAUAGUUUUUGAGGUUUGUGGGAUAUAUCAGUCAUUCCUUAACUGUUUGAACAGUAACAUUGUAUUUGAAUAUAUAGUUAAGUGAUUAUUUGGUGUAAUAUUCCAAUGGCCAAACAUAUUAAACAUACUUGUUCAAUAAAA